UCCUCCUCAUCAAAAACAUGACUUUGAUCUGCGUCCUCAUCUGGACUCUCCUCUGCUGCUGCUUCACAGAGUCCAGAGGACAGGUCACAGUGACUCAGCCUGCAGCAGUGAGCUCUGCUAUUGGAGGCUCCAUCUCCAUCAGUUGUAGGACCAGUCAGAAUGUUUAUUAUAGCAGCUACCACUAUUUAGCCUGGUACCAACAGAGAGAUGGAGAAGCUCCUAAACUCCUCAUUUACUAUGCUAGCACUCGAGCAUCAGGGAUUCCAAGUCGUUUUACAGGCAGUGGAUCAAACUCUGACUUCACUCUGACCAUCAGUGGAGUUCAGGCUGAAGAUGCAGCAGUUUACUACUGUAAGGGUGAUUUUGACUGUAGCAAGAAUGACUGCUUCACACAGUGAAAAAUGGUCGUACAAAAACCUCCCUCAGUCAGACUGAACAGAAACUGAACUGACUGCUGCAGCUGGAAGCUCCUGCAGAGACUGAUACACUUCACUGAAGACACACACACACACACACACACACUGUACAUGCUUAAUUAUAAAAGAUGAUUUAAUAUUAUCGUUUACCAUGUACACUAAGGUCCAUAUCAGGCAUUUGCCUCU